CUUGAAGUCUUAGUGGCGCAGCUAACGCACUAAGUAGACCGCCUGGGGAGUACGGCCGCAAGGUUAAAACUCAAAUGAAUUGACGGGGGCCCGCACAAGCGGUGGAGCAUGUGGUUUAAUUCGACGCAACGCGAAGAACCUUACCUGGCCUUGACAUGCAGAGAACUUUCCAGAGAUGGAUUGGUGCCUUCGGGAACUCUGACACAGGUGCUGCAUGGCCGUCGUCAGCUCGUGUCGUGAGAUGUUGGGUUAAGUCCCGUAACGAGCGCAACCCCUAUCCCUAGUUGCUAGCAGUUCGGCUGAGAACUCUAGGGAGACUGCCGGUGACAAACCGGAGGAAGGUGGGGAUGACGUCAGGUCAUCAUGGCCCUUACGGCCAGGGCUACACACGUGCUACAAUGGUGCGUACAGAGGGCUGCAAACCCGCGAGGGGGAGCUAAUCUCACAAAACGCAUCGUAGUCCGGAUCGGAGUCUGCAACUCGACUCCGUGAAGUCGGAAUCGCUAGUAAUCGCGAAUCAGAAUGUCGCGGUGAAUACGUUCCCGGGCCUUGUACACACCGCCCGUCACACCAUGGGAGUGGAUUGCACCAGAAGUGGUUAGUCUAACCUUCGGGAGGA
rnacentral:rRNA from 1 species